GCGAUUGUAGCUCAGUUGGUAGAGCGUCGGAUUGUGGUUCCGGAUGUCGCCGGUUCGAGCCCGGUCAGUCGCC
rnacentral:tRNA from 1 species